AGAAGUCGUCCAGUACAUCCGCCAUUUCCAGCUCGCUUGCACCGUGCGGCCUUCUAAAGAGUUCACUGAUAUCGGCCAUGUUCCCGGGCCGGUCCGGCCUCGGUUUUUUAUUCUUCCGCCCCAUCUGCUUACCGACACAGUUAGCUACGUCCAGGGCAAAUUGGGUUCCAGAAAGGUACCUUUUUUCAGGCUUUAAUAAGCUUUUCCGACGGAGCUCCGCGGACAUGCGACCGCUCCGAUCGUGAGUUGGCUCCGCCCCCAG